rnacentral:snoRNA from 10 species
GUCCGGGAAACAAUGAUGCGAUCAUUUCCAAGCACAUAUCUGAUGAUGCCAUGUGGAAAUAAACUCCUGAGUUUCCUGGAC